CAGUAGCCACGGUAAUACGAAGGUCCCGAGCGUUGUUCGGAAUCACUGGGCGUAAAGGGAGCGUAGGCGGCGUGGUAAGUCGGAUGUGAAAUCCCGGGGCUCAACCCCGGAACUGCAUCCGAUACUGCCAUGCUAGAGGAUUGGAGAGGUAGCUGGAAUUCUUGGUGUAGCAGUGAAAUGCGUGGAGAUCAAGAGGAACACUCGUGGCGAAAGCGAGCUACUGGACAAUAACUGACGCUGAGGCUCGAAGGCCAGGGUAGCGAAAGGGAUUAGAUACCCCCGUAGUCCCUGUCUCUUAUAC
rnacentral:rRNA from 1 species